ACAACUUCUUGGCCUUUUAACUAAGAUCAAGAGGAGUCACUUCUUGUCAGUUUACUAUCUGAUGCACCCUCUCCCUAAGACUGAUCUAUUAAGUGUAUUUUAGAGGAGGGAAAUAGAGUAGCCUGCUAGCUAUGUCCACUCCACACAUUGGCUUGGUAUUGCAGUACCUCCAGAAGCUGUAUACACCAG
ensembl:snRNA U2 U2 spliceosomal RNA